AAGCCUGGCAACACUUCCGGUAUAAGGACGCCUCCUCGACCAAUCGCAUGGCAGAGCGUCAGCAAGUCGACACGAAAGGAAUCUACUAUGGCUGUCAGCGCGCAAUCUUUGUUGGUUUUUCUUGGAAUUAUUUUCACAUUCUUUUAUGCCGCUGGUACUUCGGUUCCAGAUGGUAUGCAGAAGGAAGUGUAUUGUCUGGGAUGUGAGACAACAAUGAAAGUAUUUGACCGUCUGCUGAGGGGUGUCCCUAAAGACAAACUUGAUGGGACUUUGGCUACAGCCUUUCGAGUCAUUGUGUGUGCCAAACAAUUUUGACUUGCAUGAAGUUUCAAAAGAUUUGCUCUCUUCAGCCUGCAAUCAUCUGAUAAAACAGUAUGGACCAACAUUAAAAGAAAUCUUGCUGGCUGAAUACCAUCAACAAAAUCUGCCCACGUAUCUAAACCUUGUGCAGCGUGUAUGCUCAGGACUGACUGGCGCUUGUCAUGGAGUUCUGCAUGAUGACCAUGACCAUGACCCACUGACUGACAAUGCACACAUCAAACUGGAUGCAGCAAGCAGUGAGUUUGUUUUACUUCCUGGCAAAAACUUGAAGAUGGCCAAGCCUGUGAGUGAGAUGCGCGAGGAGUUGUGAUACCACAGGACUUACUUCACUGCCAUUUCCAUGCUUGCAAUAUAAACAUCAAUUAUGUCAGCACAUCUGUCUGUGAACAAGGUUUGUUAACUGAAAGCAUUUGAUAUUAAGUGUUGUUUUCUAAACUUCACCCAAGGAAGCUUCCCUUCCGUGAUAUGUAUCUAUAGGAUACGCUAUUUUACUAACCUUUAUGUGGACAUUUUUAUAGUUUUACACGGAAUCUUUAUUCUACUAUACACUACUAUACCUCAAAAUUUUAAGACUUUACAAUAUAUGUGCUUAUUGUGACUGAAUAAAGUUAUAUUGAUCAGUGUUUUGGUAUCUCCCUCUGUCCUUCAUGACCUUAUUACCAUACCAUCUUCAUGCAAUUUAUCAGCAAUGCAGUUAUAGUGCUUGUUCUUUUUUCUUUGUACUUAAUGCUUUGAAACCAAACCCCUCAAGCAUGACUUACAUCUCUAACAUGUGAAUGUGCACCAACAUCAUACACUGCACACUCUAUCCCACCACCAGGAUUGGUGUUUCAAAGUGCCCAUAUUUUGUUGAAUAUGCUUGUUUGAAUCAAUGCAGGUGAGAAUGACAGAAAAUCAUAUUAUUUUGUGAAUUAAAGCUUUAAACAUAUUUCACUUGCUAAACAAAGUUGAGAGGAGGCUUAGCAUUCCAACCACAUUAUUUCUUGACCAAAGUUAUGUUUCAAGUUUGUUAGUGAUGGUAAUUUUGUGUCGGAAAUAUGAAUAAUAAUUCUUACUUUGAACAGUGGAAUACUCAAUAAAACUUUCUCAAUUAA